CGGUGUCAGCCGGGGCCAUCCUCCCAGAGUGACCUAGAGGACUGGGUGAGGAGGGUCUCUAGAGCACUGAGGGUGCAGGACACAGAGCCAACCGUCUGAUUGUUCCUUCCCCCUCCUUGACCUCGGCUCACAGAGACCUUGAACCCUCAGGGUCAAGCAGGCCUGCCCCUUUGUUCUGUGUGCCCCAGGGUGCAGUGGAGCCUGUUCCAGGUCACGCCCGGCCUGGCCGUCAUCAGUCUCGUGGCUCUGAAGCAGCCACGUCACUCCCCCAGUCCCGGCACCUCCCCUGCGCCUGCACCUGGGUGAGAGCCCGUCCAGGCCUCUCUGCCCCCUUCCUUUGC
rnacentral:lncRNA from 1 species